AUUGAACGCUGGCGGCAUGCCUUACACAUGCAAGUCGAACGGUAACAGGUCUUCGGAUGCUGACGAGUGGCGAACGGGUGAGUAAUACAUCGGAACGUGCCUAGUAGUGGGGGAUAACUACUCGAAAGAGUGGCUAAUACCGCAUGAGAUCUACGGAUGAAAGCAGGGGAUCGCAAGACCUUGUGCUACUAGAGCGGCCGAUGGCAGAUUCGGUAGUUGGUGGGAUAAAAGCUUACCAAGCCGACGAUCUGUAGCUGGUCUGAGAGGACGAUCAGCCACACUGGGACUGAGACGCGGCCCAGACUCCUACGGGAGGCAGCAGUGGGGAAUUUUGGACAAUGGGCGCAAGCCUGAUCCAGCAAUGCCGCGUGCAGGAUGAAGGCCUUCGGGUUGUAAACUGCUUUUGUACGGAACGAAAAGCCUUGGGUUAAUACCCUGGGGUCAUGACGGUACCGUAAGAAUAAGCACCGGCUAACUACGUGCCAGCCGCCGCCGUAAGAC
rnacentral:rRNA from 1 species